rnacentral:pre_miRNA from 1 species
UCACCCGGGAUCUUGUUAAAGGGCAGGUUCUCGAGAGGGGGGUGAGACCAAGAUCCUGCAUUUCUAAUCAGCUCCCAGCUGAGGCCAAUGUCUUCU